UACGGAGGGUGCGAGCGUUGUCCGGAAUCAUUGGGCGUAAAGGGCGCGUAGGUGGCCCGGUCAGUUCGUGGUGAAAGCGCGGGGCUCAACCCUGCGUCGGCCAUGAAUACUGCCGCGGCUGGAGCACUGUAGAGGCAGGCGGAAUUCCGGGUGUAGCGGUGGAAUGCGUAGAGAUCCGGAAGAACACCGGUGGCGAAGGCGGCCUGCUGGGCAGUUGCUGGACACUGACGGCGCGACAGCGUGGGGAGCAAACAGGG
rnacentral:rRNA from 1 species